UUAGGAAUCUUCCACAAUGGGCGAAAGCCUGAUGGAGCGACGCCGCGUGAGGGAUGAAGGCCCUAGGGUUGUAAACCUCUAAAAGGGGGACGAUAAUGACGGUACCCCUUGAAAAGCACCGGCUAACUCCGUGCCAGCAGCCGCGGUAAUACGGAGGGUGCAAGCGUUAUCCGGAAUCACUGGGCGUAAAGGGCGCGUAGGCGGUCUGUUAAGUCCGAUGUUAAAUCCCGGGGCUCAACCCCGGAUCAGCGUUGGAUACUGGCAGGCUCGACGGUUGGAGAGGCGAGUGGAAUUACCAGUGUAGCGGUGGAAUGCGUAGAUACUGGUAGGAACACCCAUUGCGAAGGCAGCUCGCUGGACAACACGUGACGCUGAGGCGCGAAAGUGUGGGGAGCAAACCG
rnacentral:rRNA from 2 species